CUUGAGGGAACCGAGCCACAGCGGCUUGUCGGCGUCCCGGUCCUGCCCGUACGUGGCGAGCAGCGCCUGGGCCUC
rfam:Streptomyces roseus strain ATCC 31245 contig_178, whole genome shotgun sequence.